UAGACUACUAGUUUAUACAUACAUACAUA
rnacentral:piRNA from 1 species